UAGCCCUGAAAAUGGAUGGCGCUGAAGUGAUCGACCUAUACCGGACCAUCGAAGCGAGUGCGAAGCUUUCGAUGAGUAGGAGGACGUGGGGGCGGUGACGCAGCUCGUGGCGUGAGCCAGAGUGAAACCACCCCUAGUGCAGAUCUUGGUGGUAGUAGCAAAUAUUCAAAUGAGACCUUUGAAGACUGAAGUGGAGAAAG
rnacentral:rRNA from 1 species